ACCUCGGUAGCUUAGUGGUAAGAGCAGCAGGGCGUGAACCUGAAAGGCCUAGGUUCGUAUCCCAGUCAAGGUC